CUUCACCGAGCCGAGGAGCAGCGGUUCCGUGCGGUUCUGGCCGUAGGUCGCGAGAAGGGCCUGCGCCUC
rnacentral:sRNA from 1 species